rnacentral:misc_RNA from 1 species
AAAACAGCAAAUACAAGCUUUGUCCAUAGAAGAAAAUCUUAAAGAUUCAUUAAUAAAAAUACUCUUAAAUGAAACAGAACCAGAAGAUUUAGAAGUAAAUGCAUUAGAUUAUACUUCAGAAGAAUCUUCUACUGAGCCUGAUAAAGUAUCAGAAUGUGAUGGAAAAUGUGAUUAUUAUAAGUCUUUAUGUACCUUAAAUGGUCUUUGUGUCUUGACAAAAGAAGAAAAUUUAAUCUUAGAU